AUGGAACAGGGUCGCUGUGCUUAUACAUAUGCGUAUUUCUUUAUUUUUUCUUUUCUGUUUUUUUUUUUUGAGACAGAGUUUCACUCGUUACCCAGGCUGGAGUGCAAUGGCGCGAUCUCGGCUCACCGCAAUUCUCCUGCCUCAGCCUCCCAAGUAGCUAGGAUUAUAGGUGUGUGCCACCACAUCUAGCUAAUUUUUGUAUUUUGAGUAGAGACGAGGUUCCACCAUGUUGCCCAGACUGAUCUUGAACUCCUGACCUCAGGUGGUCCACCUGCCUCAGCCUCCCAAAAUACUGAGAUUACAAGCAUGAGCCACAGUGCCUGGCCAUUAUAUGUUAAAGGUUACUACUGAUAAAUAAAGACUUAUUCCUGUAAUUUUAUUAGUUGUCUUCUGGUUAUUUUUUUUAUUUAUCCUUUGUUCCUUACUUCCUUUUUUAUUGUGUAUUUUUUAGAUUGGGUAGUUUGCUGUAGUAACAUGAUUUUAUUUUAUUUUAUUUUUUGCCUUUUUUCUUCUUUAUUGGUUCCACUAGUGAGUUUUAUAGU
rnacentral:lncRNA from 1 species